rnacentral:rRNA from 1 species
GCAAGUCGAGCGCGCCCUUCGGGGUGAGCGGCGGACGGGUUAGUAACGCGUGGGAAUAUGCCCAAAGGUAGGGAAUAGCCUCUGGAAACGGAGAGUAAUACCCUAUGUGCCCUUCGGGGGAAAGAUUUAUCGCCUUUGGAUUAGCCCGCGUUAGAUUAGGUAGUUGGUGGGGUAAUGGCCUACCAAGCCUACGAUCUAUAGCUGGUUUUAGAGGAUGAUCAGCAACACUGGGACUGAGACACGGCCCAGACUCCUACGGGAGGCAGCAGUGGGGAAUCUUGGACAAUGGGCGCAAGCCUGAUCCAGCCAUGCCGCGUGAGUGAUGAAGGCCUUAGGGUCGUAAAGCUCUUUCGCCAGGGAUGAUAAUGACAGUACCUGGUAAAGAAACCCCGGCUAACUCCGUGCCAGCAGCCGCGGUAAUACGGAGGGGGUUAGCGUUGUUCGGAAUUACUGGGCGUAAAGCGCGCGUAGGCGGAUCGGAAAGUUGGGGGUGAAAUCCCGGGGCUCAACCCCGGAACUGCCUCCAAAACUAUCGGUCUAGAGUUCGAGAGAGGUGAGUGGAAUUCCGAGUGUANAGGUGAAAUUCGU